UACAGAGGAUGCAAGCGUUAUCCGGAAUGAUUGGGCGUAAAGCGUCUGUAGGUGGCUUUUUAAGUCCGCCGUCAAAUCCCAGGGCUCAACUCUGGACAGGCGGUGGAAACUACCAAGCUGGAGUACGGUAGGGGCAGAGGGAAUUCCUGGUGUAGCGGUGAAAUGCGUAGAGAUCAGGAAGAACACCGGUGGCGAAAGCGCUCUGCUAGGCCGCAACUGACACUGAGGGACGAAAGCUAGGGGAGCGAAUGGG
rnacentral:rRNA from 1 species